rnacentral:rRNA from 1 species
ACACGACUACAUUAGAUACCCCCGUAGUCCCAGCCCUAAACGAUGCUCGCUAGGUGUCAGGGACGGUGCGACCGUUUCUGGUGCCGCAGGGAAGCCGUGAAGCGAGCCACCUGGGAAGUACGGUCGCAAGGCUGAAACUUAAAGGAAUUGGCGGGGGAGCACUACAACGGGUGGAGCCUGCGGUUUAAUUGGACUCAACGCCGGAAAUCUUACCGGGACCGACAGCAACAUGAAGGCCAGGCUGAAGACUUUGCCGGAUUAGCUG